ACUUCUAAAGAUGAAUCAUUCACUUCAAAUUCAUCAAAUGCACAAGCAACUGAUAGUGUAAGUGAAAGAACGCAUACAACUAAAGAAGAUGAUAUUCCAAGCUUCAUUAGAAAUAGAGAAGAAAGACGUUCAAGAAGAACAAGACGUUAAUCGGUUAAUAUAUAUA
rnacentral:sRNA from 1 species